rnacentral:rRNA from 1 species
CCUACGGGAGGCAGCAGUGGGGAAUAUUGCACAAUGGGGGAAACCCUGAUGCAGCAACGCCGCGUGAAGGAAGACGGUUUUCGGAUUGUAAACUUCUAUCAAUAGGGAAGAAAGAAAUGACGGUACCGAAAUACGAAGCCCCGGCUAACUACGUGCCAGCAGCCGCGGUAAUACGUAGGGGGCAAGCGUUAUCCGGAAUUACUGGGUGUAAAGGGAGAGUAGGCGGCAAGGUAAGCGAUAUGUGAAAGCCUUAAGCUUAACUUAAGGAUGGGAUAACGAACUAUCUAGCUAGAGUACAGGAGAGGAAAGCGGAAUUCCUGGUGUAGCGGUGAAAUGCGUAGAUAUUAGGAAGAACACCAGUGGCGAAGGCGGCUUGCUGGACUGAAACUGACGCUGAGGCUCGAAAGCGUGGGGAGCGAACAGGAUUAGAUACCCGGGUAGUC